UUGACCAUCUUCUCCGAGGCACACAACCUCAAGCUCGAGUUGCAGAUUAGCUAUUGACUAUUUCAACUUUCUCUAGUAUAUUGUGUCAAUAGUGUUACUUAAGGUAACUCCAAUUCCUGAAUUUUGUUAGCAGGAUUGCAUUGACUUUCCUGAUGACAUGUUAAGAAAUUAUCUGCCACCAAUCUCCUUUGAUGGCCAUGGCUGAUACUGUUCGAUGGUCAACUUUACCACAUAUUGCGGAUGGGUUAGCCAGAGAUGGUUUUCACUGUUUCCAUGCUCAAGGCGAUCAACUUGGAGACUAUUUAAUUAAGUAGUUGUACUGGUUCUAAUGGGACAUCUUCAAGCUCAAGUUACUGAACCUAAUUAUUUUGAAGCUGGAUGGGACCAUACAUUACAACCUUUCUCCCAUUGAAACUUGGAAAAGUACGAGGUGGUUCCAGAACACGGAGAUACAUUUUAGUCAUCUUGCAACGCGCAGGGUAUCAUCUAGUUAUAUAAACGUGGGGAACUGAUGUGGAAGCAGAGGUCGCGGCUCGAGUGGUUACGAGCUGACGAUUCUACUUGGACAUGUUGAACACUCAAGCUAACUUGCACCGCAAGACUGUUAUCAACUCUGCAUGUCGCCCACGUUGCAAUACUGCUCAGGAGGACUGCGCAUACCUGUUCUUCUCUGGCCCCGCCUCGACUAUAUGGGCAGCGAUCGGUCUUCAGCCUUGCUCCUUGCCUCUCACUGAGUUGUGGAACAGGCCAUGCCACCCUAGCCUCCCGCGGGCUGUCUGGCCCUUUAUCCUGCUGCUAGUACUAUGGAAAACUAGAUCAUGGAUGGCGCGCGUUGCUGCGC